GAUGAACGCUGGCGGCGUGCUUAACACAUGCAAGUCGAACGAUGAAGCCCAGCUUGCUGGGUGGAUUAGUGGCGAACGGGUGAGUAACACGUGAGUAACCUGCCCUUAACUCUGGGAUAAGCCUGGGAAACUGGGUCUAAUACCGGAUAGGAGCGUCCACCGCAUGGUGGGUGUUGGAAAGAUUUAUCGGUUUUGGAUGGACUCGCGGCCUAUCAGCUUGUUGGUGAGGUAAUGGCUCACCAAGGCGACGACGGGUAGCCGGCCUGAGAGGGUGACCGGCCACACGGGAUCUGAGACCGGGCCGAGACGCCUUCGGGGGGCAGCAGGGGGGAAUUGUCCAAAGGGGGCGAAAGCCAGUGGCAGGGGCGCCGGGGGGGGGAAGGGGGCUUUGGGGGUGAAAACCGUUUUCGAGGGGAAAAGAGCUAAGUGAAGGUUCCUGGAAAAAAAAGACCCGCUUAAUAAGGU
rnacentral:rRNA from 1 species